GCCAGUGUGGUGUAGUGCUUUGGAUGUUGGGCAAUGACUCUGGAGACCAGGGUUCGAUUCCCAGCUCAGCCA
rnacentral:tRNA from 1 species